CCUGGCCUCUGCCUGUCCCGGGGGGAAAUCGGAUCCUGGGCUGUGUCCGCCGGCGCCCUGGGCUCCUAGGCCUGCGCUGUUGGAAUCGCGCUCCUGGCCGUGCAGCCCCCUCCGUGGAGCCACGCCCGAGCCC